rnacentral:rRNA from 1 species
UACGGGAGGCAGCAGUGGGGAAUAUUGCACAAUGGGCGCAAGCCUGAUGCAGCCAUGCCGCGUGUAUGAAGAAGGCCUUCGGGUUGUAAAGUACUUUCAGUCGUGAGGAAGGUGUUAAGGUUAAUAACCUUAGCAAUUGACGUUAGCGACAGAAGAAGCACCGGCUAACUCCGUGCCAGCAGCCGCGGUAAUACGGAGGGUGCGAGCGUUAAUCGGAAUUACUGGGCGUAAAGGGCACGCAGGCGGUUAAUUAAGUUGGAUGUGAAAUCCCCGGGCUUAACCUGGGAAUGGCAUUCAAGACUGGUUAGCUAGAGUCUUGUAGAGGGGGUUAGAAUUCCAUGUGUAGCGGUGAAAUGCGUAGAGAUGUGGAGGAAUACCGAGUGGCGAAGGCGGCCCCUGGGACAAAGACUGACGCUCAUGUGCGAAAGCGUGGGGAGCAAACAGGAUUAGAUACC